GCCUUCGUGGUGUAGUGGUCAGCCCACUCGACGCGUAACCGAGAGGUCCGUGGUUCGAUUCCCGGCAAAGGCU
rnacentral:tRNA from 1 species